GUGCUCACUUUGGCAGCACAUGUACUAAAACUGGAACAAUACAGAGAAGAUUAGCAUGGCCUCUGUGCAAGGUGACAUGCAAAUCCCAUCCACCCUGUCCUGUUAUU